UGGGGAAUAUUGCACAAUGGGCGAAAGCCUGAUGCAGCAACGCCGCGUGAGUGAUGAAGGCCUUCGGGUUGUAAAGCUCUGUCUUUUGGGACGAUAAUGACGGUACCAAAGGAGGAAGCCACGGCUAACUACGUGCCAGCAGCCGCGGCAAUACGUAGGUGGCAAGCGUUGUCCGGAUUUACUGGGCGUAAAGGAUGCGUAGGCGGAUUUUUAAGUGAGAUGUGAAAUACCCGGGCUUAACUUGGGUGCUGCAUUUCAAACUGGGAAUCUAGAGUGCGGGAGAGGAGAAUGGAAUUCCUAGUGUAGCGGUGAAAUGCGUAGAGAUUAGGAAGAACACCAGUGGCGAAGGCGAUUCUCUGGACCGUAACUGACGCUGAGGCAUGAAAGCGUGGGUAGCAAACA
rnacentral:rRNA from 1 species